AUAUUUUUCUGUGCGUGUAAAAGAGAAGGGGGUGAUAUACAAAGCAAUCCUAUAUAUGUUGUCUUGUGAAAAUGAUGUCAUGUUGAAGUCAGUAGAACAUAUUUCCAGGACUCAGACCAGCAAACAACAUAAAAAACAAAUAUUCAAUGCCAACAAGUACAUACAUACAGAUUUAAAACCCAACUAAAAUAGAGCAAUUUAAAACGGCUGUGGAUAGUGAGAUCCGAGCCAUAGAUAGUGAAAUCUGAAGCACGGAUACUGAAUUCUGAUAUGUUGUCAGCGGUACUGGUAAUAGGCUACCAUGACUCCGCCAUGAUUGGCUGAGCCCUGUUGAUGUCAGAGAGUUUUCCCUGCAGAGGCUGGACUGCAGCGCUCACUGGCCAAUAGGAAGGCGUUCCCUGCUUCUAAUGCAGAUGGAUCGCUCUCCAGUGGCUGACGAGGGGCAGGACGGAAACUCCAGAUAAAGAAGACACCGUUUUAUGAGUGGAUGACAUUGUCCCAACUCCAGGAUGGACAAAGUGCGGCCCUUGGGUCCCAUAAGUUUUAUUGUUGUGAUUAUUUUUUUUAUGAACCCCUGGGUAUUGAGGGGGACCCGACGACUGCGAAGAACCUGGACAUCUGCUGGGGAAGCUAGUGUGUCACAGAGUUAUUGGGGCAAAGGUGAAGGGACAAGCAAGACAUAAAAAGUAUAUCUAAAAAGGGAGAAAUACAGAGGUUUGUGGGAUUUCCGGCUCCUACAGUGGCGGGAGAGGUUUUAACAAACAAGCUAACCAGCAAAUGAGUGAAGAAGUGUAUAGCUGACAAACCACUCUAAAUUAGUGCCUUAGGCAUCAGUGCAAUUGACUAAAAAAAAUCACAAUGGAUGAUAUUUGGAUUGUUCCUCUGUCGAAGAGUCCAGAUGUAAUGUAUUUCACUCAGUACUCAAAUCCCUUUAAUAUGCUUCUGAAAAGUUUAAGUGGAAUUCAAGUGAAACAUAAGCUUGAUACUAGAAAUCGGCAGGCAGCAAAUUUCAGCCACCAUGUCUGUUCUCAGGGGAUAUUUUCAAGAGGGAAGAAGUAUGUUUAAGAAGAAGUCAAGUUUGCCGUGGAAUAGUUAUCUGCUCAAUGAAAUUCAGGCAACAAUAAAAUCUACUUUAUGUAAAAGCAAGACAUAAAGGAAGAAACAUCUCUUCCAAAUUCAUAACAGUUGGCUAGCAAGGUUCAAUAAAUUCCCAGUGAAGAGA